GUGAGGAAUAUUGCGCAAUGGAGGCAACUCUGACGCAGCCAUGCCGCGUGCAGGAAGAAGGCGCUACGCGUUGUAAACUGCUUUUAACCGGGAAGAAACCCCAGGACGUGUCCUGGGUUGACGGUACCGGAGGAAUAAGCACCGGCUAACUUCGUGCCAGCAGCCGCGGUAAUACGAAGGGUGCAAGCGUUAUCCGGAUUCAUUGGGUUUAAAGGGUGCGUAGGCGGAGCGUUAAGUCAGUGGUGAAAUCCUGCAGCUUAACUGUAGACUUGCCAUUGAUACUGGCGCGCUUGAGUGCGCUUGAAGUGGGCGGAAUGUGCCGUGUAGCGGUGAAAUGCUUAGAUAUGGCACAGAACACCAAUUGCGAAGGCAGCUCACUAAGGCGAUACUGACGCUGAGGCACGAAAGCGUGGGGAUCGAACAGGAUUAGAAACCCCGGUAGUCC
rnacentral:rRNA from 1 species